rnacentral:antisense_RNA from 1 species
GACCAUUGUCAGGGCCAGCCCCUGGUUGUCUGCGAAGGACACCCGCUUUUUCACCUUCUUCUCCUGGACAGCCGGCGCCACCAUUCCACUGGCUUCAUUCUUGCUGCUCAGCUGAAUACAAGGCCUCAGUGGUUUGCUGGGCUUUGGUGAGAUCUUAAAGGCAAACCUCUCUCGGCGCAAGGAAGGAGCCAUGCAGUUGUAUCUGUACUCGAUGUCCACAGCCAUCAUGGGGCUAGAUGAACAGGCUAGAACCCUGGAAAGGGAAGAGAAGAAAGAAAACAGUGGAGCAAUCAGAUCAGACAGAUGUGUAAAGGCAUCAUUCCAGCAGGGACUGGCAAACAAUAUUUCCUUUUAUCUAUGCCCACAUGGCUACAGAGACAGGACUCGCUAUGUUGCCCAAGCUGGUCUCACACUCCUGGCUCAAUCCAUCCUCCUGCCUUGACCUCCCAAAGUGCUAGGAUUACAGGUCCACGUAUGCUCAGAUUCUCUUCUGCCUCUGCCGCCCCUGAGACAGCAAGACCAACCCCUUCUCCUCCUCUUCCUCCUCCUCAGCCUACUCAACGUGAAGAGGAUGAGAAUGACGACCUUUAUGAUGACCCACAUCCACUUAAUGAACAGUAAAUAUAUUUUCUCUUUCCUAUGAUUUUCUUAA